rnacentral:rRNA from 1 species
GACGAACGCUGGCGGCGUGCUUAACACAUGCAAGUCGAACGAAGUGGCGAACGGGUGAGUACUACGUGGGUAACCUGCCCUCCUUUUUGGGAUAAGCCUUGGAAACGGGGUCUAAUACCGAAUAAAGGGGGAUGGGCUCGCGGCCUAUCAGCUUGUUGGUGGGGUGAUGGCCUACCAAGGCGGUGACGGGUAGCCGGCCUGAGAGGGUGACGGGCCACAGGGUGACCGAGAGACGGCUCAGACGCCGACGGGUGGCAGCAGUGUGGGAUAUGGUAGAAUGGGGGAAAGCCGGAUGCAUCGAUGACGCGUGGGGGAGGAAGGCUUUCGGGUUGUAAACCUCUUGCGUUAUCGAACGGGUAGGUGCAGAAGAAUCGCCGGCUAACUACGUGCCAGCCGACGCGGUAAUAC